AUGAACGCUGGCGGCGUGCUUAACACAUGCAAGUCGUACGGUAAGGCCCUUUCGGGGGUACACGAGUGGCGAACGGGUGAGUAACACGUGAGUAACCUGCCCACAACUUUGGGAUAACGCUAGGAAACUGGUGCUAAUACUGGAUAUGUGCUCCUGCUGCAUGGUGGGGGUUGGAAAGCUCCGGCGGUUGUGGAUGGACUCGCGGCCUAUCAGCUUGUUGGUGGGGUAGUGGCCUACCAAGGCGGCGACGGGUAGCCGGCCUGAGAGGGUGACCGGCCACAUUGGGACUGAGAUACGGCCCAGACUCCUACGGGAGGCAGCAGUGGGGAAUAUUGCACAAUGGGCGCAAGCCUGAUGCAGCAACGCCGCGUGCGGGAUGACGGCCUUCGGGUUGUAAACCGCUUUCAGCAGGGACGAAGCUUUUUGUGACGGUACCUGCAGAAGAAGCACCGGCUAACUACGUG
rnacentral:rRNA from 1 species